rnacentral:rRNA from 1 species
CGAGGGGAAUUGAAACAUCUUAGUACCCUCAGGAAAAGAAAUCAAUAGAGAUUGCGUCAGUAGCGGCGAGCGAAAGCGCAAGAGGGCAAACCCAGUGCUUGCACUGGGGGUUGUAGGACUGCAAUGUGCAAGAGGUAAGUUUAGCAGAACAUUCUGGAAAGUAUAACCAUAGAGGGUGAUAGUCCCGUAUGCGAAAAACAAACCUUAGCUAGCAGUAUCCUGAGUAGGGCGGGACACGAGGAAUCCUGUCUGAAUCCGGGUCGACCACGAUCCAACCCUAAAUACUAAUACCAGAUCGAUAGUGCACAAGUACCGUGAGGGAAAGGUGAAAAGAACUGAGGUGAUCAGAGUGAAAUAGAACCUGAAACCAUUUGCUUACAAUCAUUCAGAGCCCUAUGUAGCAAUACAGGGUGAUGGACUGCCUUUUGCAUAAUGAGCCUGCGAGUUGUGGUGUCUGGCAAGGUUAAGCAAACGCGAAGCCGUAGCGAAAGCGAGUCUGAAUAGGGCGCUUAGUCAGAUGCUGCAGACCCGAAACGAAGUGAUCUAUCCAUGAGCAAGUUGAAGCUAGUGUAAGAACUAGUGGAGGACUGAACCCAUAGGCGUUGAAAAGCCCCGGGAUGACUUGUGGAUAGGGGUGAAAGGCCAAUCAAACUUCGUGAUAGCUGGUUCUCUCCGAAAUAUAUUUAGGUAUAGCGUUGUGUCGUAAUAUAAGGGGGUAGAGCACUGAAUGGGCUAGGGCAUACACCAAUGUACCAAACCCUAUCAAACUCCGAAUACCUUAUAUGUAAUCACAGCAGUCAGGCGGCGAGUGAUAAAAUCCGUCGUCAAGAGGGAAACAACCCAGACUACCAGCUAAGGUCCCUAAAUCUUACUUAAGUGGAAAACGAUGUGAAGUUACUUAAACAACCAGGAGGUUGGCUUAGAAGCAGCCAUCCUUUAAAGAAAGCGUAAUAGCUCACUGGUCUAGUGAUUUUGCGCGGAAAAUAUAACGGGGCUAAAGUAAGUACCGAAGCUGUAGACUUGCACACAACUUAGAUUAUUUAAGUUUAGAAUAUGAGAAACUAAGUUAUAUGUUUAGUUAUAUUUUUACUGAUUUUUAUAGAGUAAAGAUAGAAAUAAAACUUAGUAAAAUCAGUAAAAAUAUUCUUAGACUAAAGUUAAGUAGUUUAAGUUGUGUGCAAGUGGUAGGAGAGCGUUCUAUUUGCGUCGAAGGUAUACCGGUAAGGAGUGCUGGAGCGAAUAGAAGUGAGCAUGCAGGCAUGAGUAGCGAUAAUUAAUGUGAGAAUCAUUAACGCCGUAAACCCAAGGUUUCCUACGCGAUGCUCGUCAUCGUAGGGUUAGUCGGGUCCUAAGUCGAGUCCGAAAGGGGUAGACGAUGGCAAAUUGGUUAAUAUUCCAAUACCAACAUUAGUGUGCGAUGGAAGGACGCUUAGGGCUAAGGGGGCUAGCGGAUGGAAGUGCUAGUCUAAGGUCGUAGGAGGUUGUACAGGCAAAUCCGUAUAACAAUACUCCGAGAACUGAAAGGCUUUUUGAAGUCUUCGGAUGGAUAGAAGAACCCCUGAUGCCGUCGAGCCAAGAAAAGUUUCUAAGUUUAGCUAAUGUUGCCCGUACCGUAAACCGACACAGGUGGGUGGGAUGAGUAUUCUAAGGCGCGUGGAAGAACUCUCUUUAAGGAACUCUGCAAAAUAGCACCGUAUCUUCGGUAUAAGGUGUGGUUAGCUUUGUAUUAGGAUUUACUCCGAAAGCAAGGAAACUUACAACAAAGAGUCCCUCCCGACUGUUUACCAAAAACACAGCACUCUGCUAACUCGUAAGAGGAUGUAUAGGGUGUGACGCCUGCCCGGUGCUCGAAGGUUAAUUGAUGGGGUUAGCAUUAGCGAAGCUCUUGAUCGAAGCCCGAGUAAACGGCGGCCGUAACUAUAACGGUCCUAAGGUAGCGAAAUUCCUUGUCGGUUAAAUACCGACCUGCAUGAAUGGCGUAACGAGAUGGGAGCUGUCUCAAAGAGGGAUCCAGUGAAAUUGUAGUGGAGGUGAAAAUUCCUCCUACCCGCGGCAAGACGGAAAGACCCCGUGGACCUUUACUACAGCUUGACACUGCUACUUGGAUAAGAAUGUGCAGGAUAGGUGGGAGGCUUUGAGUAUAUGACGCCAGUUGUAUAUGAGCCAUUGUUGAGAUACCACUCUUUCUUAUUUGGGUAGCUAACCAGCUUGAGUUAUCCUCAAGUGGGACAAUGUCUGGUGGGUAGUUUGACUGGGGCGGUCGCCUCCCAAAUAAUAACGGAGGCUUACAAAGGUUGGCUCAGAACGGUUGGAAAUCGUUCGUAGAGUAUAAAGGUAUAAGCCAGCUUAACUGCAAGACAUACAAGUCAAGCAGAGACGAAAGUCGGUCUUAGUGAUCCGGUGGUUCUGUGUGGAAGGGCCAUCGCUCAAAGGAUAAAAGGUACCCCGGGGAUAACAGGCUGAUCUCCCCCAAGAGCUCACAUCGACGGGGAGGUUUGGCACCUCGAUGUCGGCUCAUCGCAUCCUGGGGCUGGAGCAGGUCCCAAGGGUAUGGCUGUUCGCCAUUUAAAGCGGUACGCGAGCUGGGUUCAGAACGUCGUGAGACAGUUCGGUCCCUAUCUGCCGUGGGCGUAAGAAGAUUGAAGAGAUUUGACCCUAGUACGAGAGGACCGGGUUGAACAAACCACUGGUGUAGCUGUUGUUCUGCCAAGAGCAUCGCAGCGUAGCUAAGUUUGGAAAGGAUAAACGCUGAAAGCAUCUAAGCGUGAAGCCAACUCUAAGAUGAAUCUUCUCUAAGCUCUCUAGAAGACUACUAGUUUGAUAGGCUGGGUGUGUAAUGGAUGAAAGUCCUUUAGCUGACCAGUACUAAUAGAGCGUUUGGCUUAUCUUUAAUAAAGCAU